GCCCCAAGUUCCACACUAUAAAAUGGGCAGUCAUGAGAGCAGAGGAGAUGCCGGGGCGAGGCAGGCCGGGGCCAGCUCACAGCGGGCUUGACUUCAAGCAUGAAGCAAGGCAGAGAACAGGGCGCAGGGGAGUUCUUGACCACUAGUGCUACCUGGGAAGCUCCACCUUCCUCUAAGAUGAAGAGAAGAUUUGCAGCCAACAAGCCCAGCAGCCCAGCAUAGGUCAAAUCUGUUAUAGCUCUCAGCACAUUUCAUCCUCACCAAAGACCUAUGACAAGGUGAAUUGGCUGUGUGUACACGUGUAUCCCCUCCUUUUGAACCUCCUCUCCACCCCCCCUGUGCCGUCCCCUCGGUCACCAAGCAUGGAGCUGCGCCCCCGGUGUUACGCAGCAGCUUCCCGCUGGCUGUCUGUUCUACACGUAGUGUAUCCAUGUCAAUGCUUAUCCAUUGGAGCGUGAUCAGAGUUUCAGGCCCUCCUGCCAGCAGCCUGUACUCCCAGACAACUUAGUCAGCCCGGACAACCUAGACAACUUCAAGGCCAGAAUUCUCCCGAGGGCAGGAUCCUCUGACAGAGAGUCUUUGUUCCUGUUUCCAUGGCUUCCUGUGUGAGCCUGGGAACUCAGAGGGAUCCAAGUCUAUUCUGGAGUCCCGGUAGAACAAUCAUUCUGCUGUGGCUCUUCUUCCUAAGUUUAAUCCCUCAAAAGUUUGCAACCACAGACAAUUCUUUCACUCUAAAGGCAGAAUUUAUAGGAAUCAAGACUCAGACUCUGGAGUCAAAAUAACACUUUUGAAUCCCAACUUUGUUACAUACCAGCUGUGUGAAAUUGGGCAACUUAACUUCUCUGUGCCGCAAUUUUCAGAGGGAAAUGGGGGAAGCCAAAUAAUAGCAUCAACCUCAAGAAGUGAUUGUGAAGACUCAGUGAAAUAAAAUGGCAAGCACAAAGUGCAGUCCCCGGCACACCAGAGAUGGUGGUUCUUGUUAGCAUUGUUCACUAUUGUGAGCAUAUCUGACUCAUUUCUCCUUCCCCAAAGACCAGCAAUGAGCUGGUGAGUUCCUGAGUUGCAUACAACACUGAGCUCCCCUUUCCCAUGUCACAUGUGGGGUAGGGUCAAUUGCAUACACUGCUUUGUAAUUUUUCUGGUAUGGACAGACAACAAGAAUGGUAGAGUUGACAUCUCCUAAGAAUUAAGAAGAGAUGCUGCAGGCUCAAAGGCUGAAGAGGCCAGCAGAGAAAUGCAGAUGAGAGAAGCAAGCUUGGUAGGAAAAACAAUAACCCAGGGCAAGGGGAAAUGGUACUUUAUUCUGGACAUUAGGCAGGUAGGUUAUAAGGACUAGGGCAAACGGGAAGCAGCUCUGUCUAAGCUCAUCGCUGCCAUACUGUAAUGGGGGCCAGGUUGGGGUCCACUGUUGCUAGAUCUUUGUUUAAGAAUAUCCAAAAGUCUACAAGCAAUAAAUGCUGGAGAGGGUGUGGAGAAAAGGGAACCCUCCUACACUGUUGGUGGGAAUGCAAACUAGUACAGCCGCUAUGGAGAACAGUGUGGAGAUUCCUUA